GGCUAGAUAGCAUAAUGGUAAUGCGAAAGGUUGCAAACCUUUUUUAUGUCGGUUCAAAUCCGGCUCUAGCUU
rnacentral:tRNA from 1 species